rnacentral:ncRNA from 2 species
AGAGGAAGCCCGGUGCGAAUCCGGCGCGGUCCCGCCACUGUGACCGGGGUGCCCACCCCGGGAGCCAGGAACUC